rnacentral:rRNA from 1 species
GCGGAGGAAAAGAAACCAACAGGGAUUGCCUCAGUAACGGCGAGUGAAGCGGCAACAGCUCAAAUCUGAAAUCUGACCCCUUCGGGGCCCGAGUUGUAAUUUGUAGAGGGUGUUUCGGGCGCGGCGCCGGUCUAAGUUCCUUGGAACAGGACGUCAUAGAGGGUGAGAAUCCCGUAUGUGACCGGCGAUCAAGCCCAUGUGAAGCCCCUUCGACGAGUCGAGUUGUUUGGGAAUGCAGCUCAAAAUGGGUGGUAAAUUCCAUCUAAAGCUAAAUAUUGGCCGGAGACCGAUAGCGGACAAGUAGAGUGAUCGAAAGAUGAAAAGCACUUUGGAAAGAGAGUCAAACAGUACGUGAAAUUGUUGAAAGGGAAGCGCUUGCAAUCAGACCGGUCCGGGGGCGAUCAGCCGCUGCUUGUCAGCUGGUGCACUCGCCCCCGAUCCGGCCAGCAUCGGUUUGGGCGGUGGGAGAAAAGCCCCGGGAAUGUAGCUUCUUUCGGGGAGUCUUAUAGCCCGGGGCGCAAUGCCGCCCGCCCGGACCGAGGACCGCGCUUCGGCUAGGAUGCUGGCGUAAUGGUUGCAAGCGACCCGUCUUGAAACACGGACCAAGGAGUCUAACAUCUAUGCGAGUGUUUGGGUGUCAAACCCAGGCGCGGAAUGAAAGUGAACGGAGGUGGGAGCCUGUCAAACGGCGCACCAUCGACCGAUCCAGAUGUCUUCGGAUGGAUUUGAGUAUGAGCAUAGCUGUUGGGACCCGAAAGAUGGUGAACUAUGCCCGGAUAGGGUGAAGCCAGAGGAAACUCUGGUGGAGGCUCGCAGCGGUUCUGACGUGCAAAUCGAUCGUCAAAUCUAGGCAUAGGGGCGAAAGACCC